rnacentral:rRNA from 1 species
UUGAUACUGUGAGGCUAGGAUUUGGUUGCUGUGGGCGGAAUGUGUGGUGUAGCGGUGAAAUGCUUAGAGAUCACACAGAAUAUCGAUUGCGAAGGCAGCUCACAAAGCCAAGAUUGACGCUGAGGCACGAAAGUGUGGGGAUCAAACAGGAUUAGAUACCCUGGUAGUCCACACUGUAAACGAUGAUAACUCGCUGUCGGCGAUAGACCGUCGGUGGCCAAGCGAAAGCGAUAAGUUAUCCACCUGGGGAGUACGACCGCAAGGUUGAAACUCAAAGGAAUUGACGGGGGCCCGCACAAGCGGAGGAACAUGUGGUUUAAUUCGAUGAUACGCGAGGAACCUUACCCGGGCUCGAACGGUGCAUGAAUGUUCAAGAGAUUGGACAGUCCUUCGGGACAUGUAUCGAGGUGCUGCAUGGUUGUCGUCAGCUCGUGCCGUGAGGUGUCGGCUUAAGUGCCAUAACGAGCGCAAU